rnacentral:lncRNA from 1 species
CAGCUAGUCUAUGCAAAUAGACGCGCAAAUGCACAGGCUGCCCUGCUAGUUCAUCGAAUAACAGAUGACAAUAGCAUUAAGAUUCAAGAAUCAACGACACGCACAAAGAGUACAGUCAGACGAUCAUCUAAGCAACAUAAACGAGAUACACAUUGUAACGUAGCCAGAUACUCUCAGAACCCAACAAGCCGAUAAAUAACAUUGUAUGCUGUCAAUUUAGGCUACAUUGCGUCGAAUGAGUCUCGUCUGAACUACAAAAUCCAAAGGCUCCUUUGUCAGAUUGACCGCGAUCAAGCUUCAGUCUGCUCCCUCAGGCGACGGAUCGUGCUCCUGACAGUGACCGCACUUGCA